rnacentral:rRNA from 1 species
GACAGAGGGUGCAAACGUUGUUCGGAAUUACUGGGCGUAAAGGGCGCGUAGGCGGCCUACUAAGUCGGACGUGAAAUCCCUCGGCUCAACCGGGGAACUGCGUCCGAUACUGGUGGGCUCGAAUCCGGGAGAGGGAUGUGGAAUUCCAGGUGUAGCGGUGAAAUGCGUAGAUAUCCGGAGGAACACCGGUGGCGAAGGCGGCUUCCUGGACCGACACUGACGCUGAGGCGCGAAAGCUAGGGGAGCAAACGGG